GCACAAGCGGUGGAGCAUGUGGUUCAAUUCGACGCAACGCGCAGAACCUUACCAGCCCUUGACAUGGGACUCGCCGGGAGCAGAGACGCUCCCUUCGGUUCGGCCGGAGUCCGCACAGGUGCUGCAUGGCUGUCGUCAGCUCGUGUCGUGAGAUGUUGGGUUAAGUCCCGCAACGAGCGCAACCCUCGUCUCCAGUUGCCAUCAGGUUAUGCUGGGCACUUUGGAGAAACUGCCGGUGACAAGCCGGAGGAAGGUGGGGAUGACGUCAAGUCCUCAUGGCCCUUACGGGCUGGGCUACACACGUGCUACAAUGGCGGUGACAAUGGGAUGCGAAGGGGCGACCCGGAGCCGAUCCUAAAAAACCGUCUCAGUUCGGAUUGCACUCUGCAACUCGAGUGCAUGAAGGUGGAAUCGCUAGUAAUCGAGGAUCAGCAUGCCUCGGUGAAUACGUUCCCGGGC
rnacentral:rRNA from 1 species